rnacentral:rRNA from 1 species
AACGAACGCUGGCGGCAUGCCUAACACAUGCAAGUCGAACGAUGCUUUCGGGCAUAGUGGCGCACGGGUGCGUAACGCGUGGGAAUCUGCCCUUCGGUUGGGAAUAACUGAGAGAAAUUUCAGCUAAUACCUUAUAAUGUCUUCGGACCAAAGAUUUAUCGCCGAGGGAUGAGCCCGCGUAGGAUUAGGUAGUUGGUGGGGUAAUGGCCUACCAAGCCGACGAUCCUUAGCUGGUCUGAGAGGAUGAUCAGCCACACUGGGACUGAGACACGGCCCAGACUCCUACGGGAGGCAGCAGUGGGGAAUAUUGGACAAUGGGCGCAAGCCCGAUCCAGCAAUGCCGCGUGAGUGAUGAAGGCCUUAGGGUUGUAAAGCUCUUUUACCAGGGAUGAUAAUGACAGUACCUGGAGAAUAAGCUCCGGCUAACUCCGUGCCAGCCGCCGCGGUAA